ensembl:lincRNA
AUGACCGAACCAGGGUCACACAAUGGUGGAGGGAAGAUGCAAUGUGGUGAAACCCCUCGGGGGUGCCCCGAGGGGAUGCUUGGGAAAUGUGGGGUGAGACAAGGGCCCCUUCUGGGUUUUGCGGCUUCACAGAGCUGGGAGCUGCUGCCCUCCUCAAACAGAGCUAUCAUGGCAGCCAGGAUCCCGGGCAUUGCCUCCUGCUUCCACCCCUCAGCUGUGACGCUUAGGCUGGCCCUGUGGGGCCAUUCCUCUCUCCCCUUGCUGGGGCCACUGGGGUCAGAGAGCCUAGGAGUGCCUCAAACUACUGCUCGUCAAAUCCAGAGACGCCAGGAAAUUAAAAAUCUAGGCUGUGACUUUAAAAUAUGGAAUGGGAUUUUCUUCAGAGCCCCUGAAGGUAAGAUUUUUUUUUCCCCCCUUAAUAAAUGCUGAAAUCCAAUGAAUCUAAAUCCCCUGGCCAAGGAUAAUGCUCCCAGAGGCGGCGGCCGCUCCGUAACCAUUUGCUGACUUGGGGCCAGGACCAUAUUUUCAGAAAUAUUAACAUAAACUCUGGCAGUUUGGCAGUCUUUGCCCUGGGCUGGACCUGGAGCGGUACUCACAAGUGUUAGGAGACACCGACUAGUUGCCAGGACCCACCAGGUGCUGAGCUGGGGCCAUGGAGGUGGAAGGGGCCGACUCCCAGGUGGCUGAGGUCAGCUCAGACCCCGCAGCUCAGGGCUGGUUCUGGAGACAGGAGGGAAACAAUGUGCAAAGGCGCGUGUCAACCAGGGCAGGUCAGAGUUCAACAGGGGCUGGUUAGCCUUCAACUAGGAAAGUUACUGUCUAACCGGGUCAAGUUCUUGCAGAGUCAGGGAAAUCAGUGUUCAAUUAGCUCAUCACUGUACAACCAGGUUAAGUUAGUUUUUGACAAGAACUAGUUAGUAUACUCCAAAGUCAAGCUAGCAUAUAACCAAGACUUCAGCGUACCAUCAGGGAAAGUGAAUGGACUGCAUGAAAGUGUUUUUAAUACUCCACAGAUCUGGAAAUCAGACUUGGAGCAAAUUGGGGUCUAGAAUCUGAUGUCUGAGCUGGGAGUGAGGAUGGGGGAGGCCUGCAGGGGAUGCUCUGGGUCUUCACGCCUAUGGCUCAUCCUUCAACUCGGCUUCCAGUGAUGCCCAGGUUGGAGCAGGAGUGAGUCUCCCCGCCAGAGCCGGCAGGUCGCAUGGCAGCCAGAGGAUCAGAGCAAGGACACCGCAGAGGUCUGAAGCCUGGGGCCUGAGAGCCACAGACUGCCGCGGAUGAAGCAGACCUCUCUGCAGGAACUAGCACUCAUGUGAUGAUCUUACUCACGACUGAUGUCAGAAUGCAAGAAGCAUAUAAAACUUUAUCUAGGUUUUUGACCAAAGUGGUUGAAAUUUUAAAACCUCAUGUCCUGAGGGUGAAUCUUACUGACCUGGGAUACCUGAUUUAGUUUGACGCACAUCCUCCAGCCGUGCUGGAAGAGCGUGAGAAUGUGUGUGUGUAGUAUGUAUGUAUGUAUGUAAUUUGUGUGUAUGUGUCUGGUUCGUGUUUGGUCUUUGAGAAGUGUAGCAUGUGUGUGUUUCUGUGUACUGAAUAAGUGGAAAAGAGAUGCCAGCAAGGGAGCUAGAUACCCAGACAGUGCUCUAAAGACAAGGGGAGUGUGGCUGGCUCAAGGUGCGCUAGGGCAUUGGAGGUUGAAAACAUAUAGGCAAAUGGACAUGCUGUUUUGACCACAGAUGAGGUAACACUUUUCUCAAAACACGUUUGUACAACUUGGUUGCAAGAUUUAAGCUGAGUCGUUUUGGUAUCAUGUGACUUCUUACUGUAGUUGACUGAACCAGGAUGAUAGCGAACUAAGGCUAUUGACUCAUCAAAUUAUGUCCCCAGGGAAAUGGAAAGACAGCGUCAGCCCAUGAGGGUCAGCCUUCCCUGCCCAUCCCGUGUCCUGGUGCUUCACAGCUCUUGGCAGCCAGUAGAGCUGCCCAGGCAGUGCUAGUAGUAAAGAACCCACCUGCCAAUGCAGGAGACGCAAGAGACACAGUUUUGAUCCCUGCGUCAAGAAGGCCCCCUGGAGGGCGUGGUAACCCACUCCAGUGUUCUUGCCUGGAGAAUCCCAUGGACAGAUGAGCCUGGUGGGCUACGGUCCAUAGGGUCACAAAGAGUUGGACACGACUGAGGUGACUUAGCAAGCACGCAGGCACCUGAUAUCUACUAACCGAAGGACUAGGCCAGGCAACCCAGAGGCCACUCAGUGUGUCGUGGCCAUUAAAACUGCAAGGUCACGGGUACUCAGGCAGAUGGCAAACGAGAAGAGAGAGACGUGGAGAGGAGUGAGACCUGGGGCUCAGGGGAGAGGGUCAGAGACAGAGAUGGAGAGGAAAGAGAAAGAUGCAUAGAGAGACAGAGAGACUUUGAAUUCCUGAAUUUCGCAGCCCCUCAGCAUAAACCCUGUCCAAGCUCUCUGUGCAGGUCCUGCUGUUAACCACGGCAAUGGCAGGCUAGGGUUAGGAUUCAGAAUCCCAGGGCUUUCUCUCCUGAUCAGCAGUUCUCGACCCUUGCAUCUUUUUUCCAAUCAGACCCCAGGCUUGGGACUUCCCUGGGGGUCCAGUGGCUAAGACUCUGAUCUCCCAAUGCAGGGGGCCAGGGUUCGAUCCCCGGUCAAGGGACUAGAUCCCGAACGCCACAACUAAAGAUCCCAUGUGUCACAAGCUAAAACCUGGUGCAGACAAAAUGCAAACAAUACCUGAGUCUCCUCGAGAGGAACGGAAACCAGCUUUCCCAAGAGACCAUUCUGGCUUUCCUGGGUAUCUUGUGUCUUCCUAGCAUCUUGUCUUCCUAGCAUCUCUUUAGCCUGGACUCUGGCUUCCCCUUCUGGGGGUGCCCCCUUCGCCUAGAGAACUCCCAGGCACCAGAAAGCCCCCCAGGCUGCCACGACCUUGAUUCCAUCUGCAUCCGUGAAUGGAGAUCAUUCCACAGGUGGUUCACACACACACACACACACACACAUCCACACAAACCCACACUCCCUGCCCCCCCACCCCAUUUCCUGUUUUGCUUUGCUGUCAAGCCUGCCUGCUCCCGAGCCACCUCCUCUUCACACCAGCAGCAUCUUAAACACAAGGCUUCUGAACGAUUGCGCGCUUCUCCAGCAGAGUUCCAGUCCCCAGUCAUUUCCUCCUAUUGUUCAAAGAGGAUGCACUUGAUGCUGUGUGUGUGUGUGUGUGUAACCAUAUGGCCUCGGUGUGUAGCCAUAACCGAGGAAAUGGCUGCAAAAUGCUCUGUUGGUCAGGUUUAUCAGUAAGGGGGAGAUGGAUGUGAAUUCUAAUUCCUGGGGCAGAAGCGAGGAGAGGAGUCCCUCCUAUAUGCUUGUCUUUUAGGUAAUUUUAAUGCACUGACCGAGUGUUUGCAGCAUGCCCACCUCCCCAGCCCUUCACCAGCCACUGAGCAAGCUUGGGGAAUUAAAAAAAUGAAAAAUAAGACCUGCAUCCACAUCCUAGGGAAGCUGAAGAUUGGCAGGCAGUGAGGGGUCGGGGGGAGCGGGGAAAGCAGUCUUCAUCCGUGGAGCUCUUGCUGGAUUGUCUAGGACUGUGCCUAUAUAAGCUUUCUCUUCCCUGUCAGCCGGGAGGCAGCUUCCAUUCUGUAGAUGAGGAAGUUGAAGC